GAUUCUUAAUCGAGCGCCUCCUUGCAGCAGUUCCGACUCGGUCUCAGCAGAGGUUGGGAUGAAGGGAACUCAUUGUAAUGAGAUGACUCAGAGGCGGCAGGGGCGAGGGACACUUGCCAGUGCCUGCCCCUGGUAAGAAGCUACGGCUCUGUACCAGGGGCAGGUACCCAACCUUCCUUCUCCCCGAUUGACAUGUGGCUACUAGACCCCUUCACGGAUCCCGGACUAUCUCUGGCAACUGACUCUUAUGCCGCCCCUCCCCCUCCAGGAGCAAACGUCAACCGAACAUCGUUCCUGUCUGCAAAAACCCCUCUGCCCUCGGAUGCAGCUUUCCCUUCCCGCGAGCGAACUGAAAGAGAUUACCUUUAGUUAUCGUGAUCAUUUCUGCACAUUAUACAUUAUGAAGAUUUCUUGGAAUCUUCUAUAAGUUUAUGUUUCAGCUUGUUUACUAUUCCAGGAAUAGUAAAUUCACGGAAGCGAAAUAGCAUCUUAGUGUAUCAAUAUACUCAUUAUCAUGAAUAUGUUGCUUGUAUCAAGUAUCUAUUUAAAAGUUGUUUCCUUCAUACUCUCUCGGUCAGCGAUGUUUCUAAAUAGCGUGGCAUUCAACUAUAUACUGUUACACCAUGUAUUAAUUAGAUAUAUUAGUGAUGUUUCUUGAUAUAUAUUUUCCUCUUUGCUCUGAGCACUGUGUUGUAUUUAAGGUGCUAUAUGUUGUGCUGUUGUGUAUGAGGCAAAUGAGACUUGUUUCCAUCUCUGUUCAAUAAAUUUUAUUUUAAUAAA